UCACUUUGGUUUUGUUUUUCUUAUUACAAAAAAAAAUGAACAUUCUGGACAUUUUCAAAUCAGAGAUGAAUAGAAAGAAGAAAACAGGAGUUACUCACCACACCCCAAACUGGAGGUUAUUACAUGCAGUAGCCUGGUUCUGACCAUGAGGAAGCCUACUCAGUGAUUUAACCAGGGGAUGCUUAGAUGCAAAGGCGACUAAAUCAUGACUUUAAAAGUAAGUAUAAAAUAUACGAAAGUUUGACAUCCCUUGUACACUGCAGGUGGAGCAAAGUUCCUACAGGAGGACGGACUUGGAAAGAGACUCCUCUCCCCUAAGCUUAGGGUCAGAUUUUGGAAAAAAUGUCAGCGUAACCCACUGGAUGACAGAAAGGUUUACUAGUGUGCAGAGAGCACAGGCAAGUGGAAAGUAGUCCUCGGGGUGUAGCUGUGGUUAGCUGGGUGGUGAGUGUGUGGGGGCAUGGAGGGCCUCGGGGGCGGGCGCUGGCAGAGCUCCGGUGCAGGUACGGUCAGGGCAGCCGUUGCUGGUUGGAGAGCACGCGGGCACCCAGAGACUGGGAGAAGAGGUGGCUCAGAAGCACUGGAGAGCACAGUGUCCCUGUUUUGAAGGCCACAGUGUCCGGAAGACCUUGGAAUACAACCUGGGAAGUUAGCGUCCACAGCACAGGCCUUUCCCUCUGCAGCAUUCCGCAAAAGCCUCUACUAGAAGCUUCACACCACACCCUGCUUGUGGAGAAGGCGGGGUGUUGAAAGGAAAUGCAUUAUCCUACAGCAAGUAUUGAGAGGUAAAUUGGAGCUGUGAUGUAAUAAUUGAAAACUAACAAGACACACACUACAAUUAAGAUUUU
rnacentral:lncRNA from 1 species